rnacentral:rRNA from 1 species
CCUACGGGUGGCAGCAGUAGGGAAUCUUCCACAAUGGGCGAAAGCCUGAUGGAGCAACGCCGCGUGGGUGAAGAAGGUCUUCGGAUCGUAAAACCCUGUUGUUAGAGAAGAAAGCGCGUGAGAGUAACUGUUCACGUUUCGACGGUAUCUAACCAGAAAGCCACGGCUAACUACGUGCCAGCAGCCGCGGGAAUACGUAGGUGGCAAGCGUUAUCCGGAUUUAUUGGGCGUAAAGGGAACGCAGGCGGUCUUUUAAGUCUGAUGUGAAAGCCCUCGGCUUAACCGGAGUAGUGCAUUGGAAACUGGGAGACUUGAGUGCAGAAGAGGAGAGUAGAACUCCAUGUGUAGCGGUGAAAUGCGUAGAUAUAUGGAGGAACACCAGUGGCGAAGGCGGCUCUCUGGUC